GGUAGGGUGGGUGAGUGGUUGAAACCGGCGGUCUUGAAAACCGCUAUACCAGAAAUGGUAUCGUGAGUUCGAAUCUCACCCCUACCG
rnacentral:tRNA from 1 species